UGGGCAACCUGCCCCAGACUCAGGGAUAACCCCGGGAAACCGGGGCUAAUACCCGAUACUCCGAUCGAACCACAUGGCUCGAUCGGGAAAGCUCCGACGGUCUGGGAUGGGCCCGCGGCCUAUCAGCUUGUUGGUGGGGUAACGGCCUACCAAGGCGACGACGGGUAGCUGGUCUGAGAGGACGACCAGCCACACUGGAACUGAGACACGGCCCAGACUCCUACGGGAG
rnacentral:rRNA from 1 species